GAGCGCACCGCCAGAAGCGCUGGGGACUGGUCGGCUCCGGGCGCUGCAGGGCUCAGCUGCGAAGCUCAGAGACUCGCGGAGCCCAGCCGAGACCAGACACUGCGCCCCGGCUGCGCAAAGAGAGGGACCCCAGAGCUGCAGUGCCAUCCCGGAUGCGGACGCACAACUUGGAGCAACUUUAAGGAGAACUUUGUUGUGGACCCAGGAGACAAAACACAAACUUGCAGAUGGCCUGGAGGCGCGUGGGAGCUGUCCUCGCCUCCACAAGAGGGGUAGGCUGGGGGCACCGGGGCCAAGCCUUCCGAUUCCCGGCCCCCCCCCCAACCCCCUCUCAUUUAAGAGGCAGGGGAAAUCCUGUCUCCCGCCUUCGCGGAGAGGAGCGCGUCUUCCCUCGGCCAGGAUCCGCGGGGCUCCGGACACUGCGCAGUCAGUUCCUAGACAAGAGAAACCGCCUCAGAGGUUUCCUCGAACAGAUCUCCCCUGAGGGCUACAGCCGCACAGCGGAGGGCCGGAUCUCGUUUACGUCUUGGAAAUCUGCCGGGGAAAGGGACCACUAAUCUUCCAACCCGACUCGCCUCCGCCCAUCCGGCAGGGGCUGGGCGGACCACAGCUUCCCGGAGUAGCGGCCCUGCCUCCCAGCUUCUGCGGAGUGUUUUCGUUUUUGUUUUGUUUUGUUUUGUUUUGUUUUGUUUUGUGUUUUGUUUCCUGCAGAAGCUCCAGGCACAGGGAGUUAGGGGAGAGGCUGCCAAACUGAGAAGGGGACACUUGUCCUCAACACAAGAAAAACAAAACUAAAAGUAACCUUGUAGUAUUGUUUACAAAGGCGCCCGGUAAAAUGUAAACAGUGAACUUGAAUCUGUAUUGCUUGGCGGGCGAGCGGGCAAAGCCCACUUUACAAGUACCUGUGGUAAUGUGAAUGUUUACUCUUCAUUUCUGGCCAGGUUAGGGGUGGGAAGGGGGGAUGGGAAAGUUAAUUGGAAUGUUGACUUUCCUGUUACUUAGAGACCUUUUAGCUAUUUAUUUUAUUGUUGGAAGGGGAAAAAAAAAAGAAAAUGAAAUAAGCCCAACUAAGAAAGCAUCAAGGGCAACCCUAGCAGAAUUUAGAUAGCUGACUGGUAACGUGAAGCAGAUGUCACCGGAUAGGUCUCCCAUGGACAAGUCUUUCUGUUUGCUACAAGAACUUUCCCAAGAAGCUAAAGGGCUGCAAAGAGAUGUAAAUGCUUGUGAAUAGGAAUGAUUAUACACUGUGUAAAAUGCACUUUUGUUUGCUAUAUUCCUUUAGAGUUCUUAGGUAAUUUGCUGGAAAACGAACUGUUGUUCUGGUGUGACCUGCUUAAGUUAAAAAAAAAAAGUUGUAGUUGUCAUAGGGCUGUAAAAUUUUUACCUUUCAUUUUUCUCCUUCCCUGUUCAGAAUUAGCAUGACAUUUUAAAAAUUGAUGUUCUUGUUCCCAGCAUGCCUGUUUUAAGACAAAGAAUUUUAAAAAGGUGUCUACAUUAAAUUAUGAAUCUAGUCCAAAUAAUAUUUUCUCAUUAAAAUACGUAAAUUCAAAUUUUA